ACCACAUUGCUGACAGAAAAAAAAUUUUAGUUGUCUGGAUAGAUCAAACCAGCCAGCACAUUCUCUUAAGCAGGAGCCUAAUAUAGAGCAAGGCCUUAAUGCCCUUUAAUUCUAUAAAGACUGAGAGAUGUGAAGAAACUGCAGAAGAAAAGUUGGAAACCAGCAGAGGUUGGCUCAUGAUGUUUUAAACAAAGAAGCCUUCUCUAUAACACAAAAGUGCAAGAUGAGCAAAAAAACAUUGAUAUAGA